rnacentral:lncRNA from 1 species
GCCUCACCGACCUCCCCUCGUCGUAGAUCCGCCUCCCUCGCAGUCGCCUUCGCCGCCGCAUCUGCUAGCGCCGCCUCCAUCAACGGCGGCGGCGUCCCCAAGAUCAACGGCCACCCCCGGAUCAACGGCUUCGAACCCGCCGCCGGCCUCCGCGUAGCCUUCCAGGGCGCCCCCGGCGCCUACUCCGAGUUCGCCGCCAAGACCGCCCUUCUGGGCUGCGACACCCUCCCCUGCCGCGCCUUCGCGGACGCCAUCUCUGCCGUCGAGCGCGGCCUCGCCGACCGUGCCAUCCUCCCCGUUGAGAGCACCAUGGAAGGCGCCGCCCUCCGCAACUACGAUCUCCUCCUCCGGCACGACCUCCGCGUCGUCCAGGAGAUCAGCCUCUUCGUUAACUACUGCCUCCUCGCCAUGCCUGGCGUCAGCCCCGCCGAGGUCCGCCGUGUCAUCAGUCACCCCGUGGCCCUUGCCCACUGCGGCCGCGCCCUCGCCCAGCUCGGCCUCCACCGCUGCGAGCCCGUCGAGGACACUGCCGGCGCCGUUGAGAUGCUCCGCUCCAACCGCCUCCUGGACACCGCCGCCAUCGCCUCCCCCCGCGCUGCCCUCCUGUACGGCCUCGAUGUCCUCGCCCAUGGCGUCCAGG